rnacentral:rRNA from 1 species
AUGGUGUAUUUUAGCUUUGUACUGUUCUUUAUAAUGGUAGGAGUACUGAUUUUGUUGGAAAGAAAAGGCAAUGGCAAAUCAACAACACUUUCGUUUGAGUUGAGAAUCAGUCACUGUAACAAGGUUAAAAAUAUCAUAUACCGGAUUCGUAUUAGUUUGGCUUCAACAUGUCGGGUGAUAUAUCAGACGAUAUAUAGAUAUAUCAGAGAAAACAUACCUGGAUUUCUUUUUAUUAUUCUUGUUCAAAAAUGUCUUAUUAGUAUAAACAAAAUGUAUGAUGCCAAUGCUUUGGCAUACAAAUAUACCCCCUCCGUCCGAAAAUACUUGUCCAAGGAAUGGAUGUAUCUAGAUGUAUUUUAG